rnacentral:rRNA from 1 species
GACGAACGCUGGCGGCGUGCUUAACACAUGCCAGUCGAACGGAAAGGCCCUGCUUUUGUGGGGUGCUCGAGUGGCGAACGGGUGAGUAACACGUGAGUAACCUGCCCUUGACUUUGGGAUAACUUCAGGAAACUGGGGCUAAUACCGGAUAGGAGCUCCUGCUGCAUGGUGAGGGUUGGAAAGUUUCGGCGGUUGGGGAUGGACUCGCGGCUUAUCAGCUUGUUGGUGGGGUAGUGGCUUACCAAGGCUUUGACGGGUAGCCGGCCCGAGAGGGUGACCGGCCACAAUGGGACUGAGAUACGGCCCAGACGCCUACGGGAGGCAGCAGGGGGGAAUAUUGCACAACGGGCGGAAGCCUGAUGCAGCAACGCCGCGUGCGGGAUGACGGCCUUCGGGUUGUAAACCGCUUUCGCCUGUGACGAAGCGUGAGUGACGGUAAUGGGUAAAGAAGCACCGGCUAACUACGUG